rnacentral:rRNA from 1 species
UGGGGAAUAUUGCGCAAUGGGCGAAAGCCUGACGCAGCAACGCCGCGUGAGUGAUGAAGGCCUUCGGGUCGUAAAGCUCUGUCGGAGGGAACGAAUGCUCUUGAGGUUAACAGCCUCGGGAGGUGACGGUACCCUCAAAGGAAGCACCGGCUAACUCUGUGCCAGCAGCCGCGGUAAUACAGAGGGUGCAAGCGUUGUUCGGAAUCAUUGGGCGUAAAGGGCGUGUAGGCGGUAUGUUAAGUCAUGUGUGAAAUCCCUCGGCUCAACCGGGGAACGACGCAUGAAACUAGCAAGCUAGAGUACCAAAGAGGGUGGUGGAAUUCCCGGUGUAGCGGUGGAAUGCGUAGAUAUCGGGAGGAACACCUGUGGCGAAGGCGGCCACCUGGUUGGAUACUGACGCUGAGACGCGAAAGCGUGGGGAGCAAACAGGAUUAGAUACCCCAGUAGUCCCUGAGCGGGCUGGCAAGGCGCAU